CGUGUGCUUACAAGUAGUCAGAGCCCGUUAAUGGGUGAUGGCGUGCCUUUUGUAGAAUGAACCGGCGAGUUACGAUUUGAUGCAAGGUUAAGCAGUAAAUGUGGAGCCGUAGCGAAAGCGAGUCUGAAUAGGGCGUUUAGUAUUUGGUCGUAGACCCGAAACCAGGUGAUCUACCCUUGGUCAGGUUGAAGUUCAGGUAACACUGAAUGGAGGACCGAACCGACUUACGUUGAAAAGUGAGCGGAUGAACUGAGGGUAGCGGAGAAAUUCCAAUCGAACCUGGAGAUAGCUGGUUCUCUCCGAAAUAGCUUUAGGGCUAGCCUCAAGUGAUGAUUAUUGGAGGUAGAGCACUGUUUGGACGAGGGGCCCCUCUCGGGUUACCGAAUUCAGACAAACUCCGAAUGCCAAUUAAUUUAACUUGGGAGUCAGAACAUGGGUGAUAAGGUCCGUGUUCGAAAGGGAAACAGCCCAGACCACCAGCUAAGGUCCCAAAAUAUAUGUUAAGUGGAAAAGGAUGUGGCGUUGCCCAGACAACUAGGAUGUUGGCUUAGAAGCAGCCAUCAUUUAAAGAGUGCGUAAUAGCUCACUAGUCGAGUGACACUGCGCCGAAAAUGUACCGGGGCUAAACAUAUUACCGAAGCUGUGGAUUGUCCUUUGGACAAUGGUAGGAGAGCGUUCUAAGGGCGUUGAAGCAUGAUCGUAAGGACAUGUGGAGCGCUUAGAAGUGAGAAUGCCGGUGUGAGUAGCGAAAGACGGGUGAGAAUCCCGUCCACCGAUUGACUAAGGUUUCCAGAGGAAGGCUCGUCCGCUCUGGGUUAGUCGGGUCCUAAGCUGAGGCCGACAGGCGUAGGCGAUGGAUAACAGGUUGAUAUUCCUGUACCACCUAUAAUCGUUUUAAUCGAUGGGGGGACGCAGUAGGAUAGGCGAAGCGUGCGAUUGGAUUGCACGUCUAA
rnacentral:rRNA from 1 species